ACCAAAAUAGGACAUAUAAGCAAUGCACAAAUCACCUUUCCGUAUCUACCCAAUCAAGUGUGUUCUGUUUUUGAUACAGAUUUCAGCUUCUCCAGUUGUUUCCGAAGAUAGGCCUGCCUGAGUUUCUCGCGACGAGCUGCUGCUUGCUCUCGGCUUUGCAACUUAAGCUCGGACACCCUCUCCCUCG